GGCCCUGUGGUGAAAUUCAUGUUGAGUUGCAAGCUCAUCGAUGCACAUUGAGGGUGUGCCGGGGCCU
rnacentral:tRNA from 1 species